CCAAAGUGCUGGGAGUACAGGCGUGAGCCACUGCGCCUGGCCGGGAGGGUGGCUCUUGACUUACAGGGCCUCCCCUCCCCUCCAAGGUCUUCUUUAAUUCUGCACAUUAUUUUAAUUAUUUCUAACAAGUACCUUGAUCUUCAUUUGUGAAAUCUAGUGACCCAAAGGCAGCUCCCAACCUCCCUGGGAGUUGAUAGGGGUGGGGUUGGGAAGAGAGGGGAGAGAGGAAGAGCUGCUCUUCCCAAGAAGGGUUUUUGUUUUGUUUUGUGUUUAUUUGUUUUGGCUUUUGGUUUUUAGUAGAUGGGGGAUGUACACGUGAGAGAGACAGAAAAGGGGAGAAAAAGAAGAAGAAAAGGGAGAGGAAAAGGUAAAAGAAAAGAAGAGAAUGAAUUGCAGCUGAGGAAGUGGAAGAGCGAGAAGCGCUUCCAGAUACCAGACUUAACAGGUGGAUUUUUGGGUUUGCUGAAGAAGAAAAAGAAGGAGAAGGAGAAGGAGAAGAAGAAGAGAAGUGUGAUUAACAAGAAAAAAACUUAUUUGGGGGCUAUGAACACCUUGAAUAUUUAACAGAAUAUCAGCUACUCAUCUGUAACCAUUCACUACAUAGCUAAACUUUUAGUAAUAAUGUAGGUAUUCUCUGGCCAAGAGAAAGAUAGGAUGUGUGUGUGUGUGUGUGUGUGUGUGUGUGUGUGUGUGUGUGUGUGUGUUUAACAGAAGAAAAUGGAAAGAAAAUAAAAUAAAGGAUAUUUUGGAGUCAGUGAGUAAAUAUUUACUUUUAGAGUAUAGCAUGUUUUAAUGGAAUAUGAUGUGUAGGACUGGAG
rnacentral:lncRNA from 1 species